rnacentral:rRNA from 1 species
AGCGAACGCUGGCGGCAGGCUUAACACAUGCAAGUCGAGCGGGCGUAGCAAUACGUCAGCGGCAGACGGGUGAGUAACACGUGGGAACGUACCUUUUGGUUCGGAACAACACAGGGAAACUUGUGCUAAUACCGAAUAAGCCCUUACGGGAAAGAUUAUCGCCGAAAGAUCGGCCCGCGUCUGAUUAGCUUGUUGGUGAGGUAACGGCUCACCAAGGCGGCGAUCAGUAGCNGGUCUGAGAGGAUGAUCAGCCACACUGGGACUGAGACACGGCCCAGACUCCUACGGGAGGCAGCAGUGGGGAAUAUUGGACAAUGGGGGCAACCCUGAUCCAGCCAUGCCGCGUGAGUGAU